AUGCAACAACCGUGUAGUGGAUGCAGAAAUUAACGUGCCUCAAGACCGGUGUACUAAUUUAGGACAGUAAAACUGAGCCUAAUCUCUGUCCUCUCAGCGUUUCGCGUUUCUGGCCAUCCGUACUACGGAUUUGCACGUUUUUAGCCGUCUGAUCUUGAGUGUGCAGCGAUCUCUCCCGCACCUUUCAAUUUUUGGCCCAGCUGUCCUAAGGCCCGCUACUCCAGAGGCCGAAUCGAAGCCAUCUGGUCAACUAGGCCUUUUCGCAGCCCAGUUAGCGAAGCAGUACACUCCGUGACCUCGCCAUGCCGCCGAUCUCGCGGUCAGCGAAAACAGAUCGCCGCAUCGAUUGGAUCGGUCAAUGGUGUGCCUGCCCCGCCGCUGCCAUGGCCACCAUCCAUCGGAGAAUCCUCCUGCCGCCAUAGAUCGCCGCAUCGACCCUCGCCAUAUAUUCAUGACAACUCUUCCCUUCUCCACCUUCACAACGGCGGCACGGGUUGUGGUGAUGCAGAGGCAGUUAUAGGGUUCCGCUCCACAGAAUCAGGUCUACCGGUAGUCGAGAGCUAACCCUCCUUUCGAUUCUACCUCAAUAAAAGAAAGAAAUAGAUGGCGAUACAGAGAGAUGUUGUCGACGCGGGGAUCAGCCGAUCCAUUAAUGGAAACAAAAUUGAACCAAUUCAACCGACUGGAAUCGUUUCAAUCAAGCAUUGAUCGAGCAACGAUGAGGAUUCGUGGUUUGAAGUUGAUCCCGUCAGCUUCUCGAUGGGCAACCUAAUCGAUUGACAUGUGCACACUUAACCGAAGGUACAAAUUUACCAUGCAACUGCAUUGUGUUUGAAGCACUUCCAGGCCCAUCAUUUGGGCCAAAAAGAAUCAACUAGCCGAAAGGGAUCCAAAUUCUUCCUAAUGAGCUAGGUAGGCCACAGCAACAUCUAAGUCCAUCUGGACCGGUUCUGGAUUUCCAUUUUUGGUACUUCAUAGUUAAUGCAUGAGGAUAUGUUCUGAAUGGUGGUACAUAAUUACAAAAGUAUAAUACAACUAAAUGUUGAUUUGUAGAAACAUGGGUAUCUGUACUGAAUUGGAGCCAGAAUUAUAAAAGUAUGUAUGACUUUAUGCAUGUGUGUGAGAAUCACCCU
rnacentral:lncRNA from 1 species